rnacentral:rRNA from 1 species
CCUACGGGCGGCAGCAGUGGGGAAUAUUGGGCAAUGGACGCAAGUCUGACCCAGCAACGCCGCGUGAAGGAAGAAGGCUUUCGGGUUGUAAACUUCUUUUUAUGGGGAAGAGGAGAAGACGGUACCCCUUGAAUAAGCCACGGCUAACUACGUGCCAUCAGCCGCGGUAAUACGGAGGUGGCAAGCGUUGUCCGGAUUUACUGGGUGUAAAGGGCGUGCAGCCGGGCCGGCAAGUCAGAUGUGAAAUCCGCGGGAUUAACCCGCGAACUGCAUUUGAAACUAUAGGUCUUGAGUGCCGGAGAGGUAAGCGGAAUGCCUGGUGUAGCGGUGAAAUGCGUAGAUAUAAGGAAGAACACCAGUGGCGAAGGCGGAUUACUGGACGGUAACUGACGGUGAGGCGCGAAAGCGUGGGGAGCAAACAGGAUUAGAUACCCGUGUAGUC